UACAGAGGUCCCAAGCGUUACUGAGAAUCACUGGGUUUAAAGGGUGCGUAGGUGGUCCGUUAAGUCAGUUGUGAAAUCCCCGGGCUCAACCCGGGAACUGCUUCUGAUACUGGCGGACUUGAGGCCAGUAGGGGUCACUAGAACUGACGGUGGAGCGGUGAAAUGCGUAGAUAUCGUCAGGAAUGCCGGUGGUGAAGACGGGUGACUGGGCUGGUUCUGACACUGAGGCACGAAAGCGUGGGGAGCGA
rnacentral:rRNA from 1 species